UUGAGUAUUUUUUAUCCCUCUGUUCCAUCCAGUUCUUCUUUUUAUUAUUAAGGGAUGCAGUGAUGUGAACUCUAGCCUUACAGCUGAUAUCAAAGAAGGAACUCUAAUUGGAUAAAAGAAACUAACUCAAAGGGUCGUGAGAUGGGAUAAAUUAGUUCACUGUUAUAUGAAGAGAUGAAUCUUCAAAUAACAUACUCUUUAGACUCUUUAGACAAACAUCUCAGUCAGCUGGUUAACAUUUAAUUCCUUGACUGAUGUCAUGAAAUCUGAGUCUGUCAAUUGUGAUGAUAUCUGUGCUUUCUUGGCCUAACUAGUUUACCAUUAAACACGUCUAUUGCUAAAGCAGGGUCACAGCUGUUCUGCUAAAAUGUCAACACGGUUUCUUCUAAUUGGAAACGCACUUGCCUGUGCAAAUACUCUAAAAAUCCUAAAACUAUUUGGCCAUAAUUUUUAGACAAUUAUCUAAAAUAAAUGUUUUUUUAAUUUCAUUAUUGCUAUUUUUGUUAUAGAGGCAAAUUCCAUUAUCUUUGAUGAUGUUGUUUCUGAAAUGUCUCUUUUAGGCAAAGUCAUAGAUAAUACACUUUAAAAUGAUUUUCUAGUUUUCUUCACAGUCUAUCUCUUAUUUCUCUUAUUCAUAUAUGUUCUUUAUAUUUUACACUAAAUAAUUGUCAAAAACUGACACUUAGAAUCAAUUCAAUUAAUUACAAUUAAUGGUUGUAAUUCUCUACAAUUCUUUUUUCUAACAAAAUUCUGAAACAAAGGAAAGUUAAUCAGGAGUCAGGCCGAAGGACUCAGGCAGAUGGAGAGUAAAAUGCUAGUGAGGUUUUUUGUUGUCGUUGUUUUGACACAACUGUUUUAAAACACGGCCUGGGUGUGUAGCAAAAAUGGGUUUGCAAAUGCUAAACAUUAGAAUAAUUUUUAGCA
rnacentral:lncRNA from 1 species